rnacentral:rRNA from 1 species
GCAGUCAGAGGCGAUGAAGGACGUGCUAAUCUGCGAUAAGCGUCGGUAAGGUGAUAUGAACCGUUAUAACCGGCGAUUUCCGAAUGGGGAAACCCAGUGUGAUUCGUCACACUAUCAUUAACUGAAUCCAUAGGUUAAUGAGGCGAACCGGGGGAACUGAAACAUCUAAGUACCCCGAGGAAAAGAAAUCAACCGAGAUUCCCCCAGUAGCGGCGAGCGAACGGGGAGCAGCCCAGAGCCUGAAUCAGUGUGUGUGUUAGUGGAAGCGUCUGGAAAGGCGCGCGAUACAGGGUGACAGCCCCGUACACAAAAAUGCACAUGCUGUGAGCUCGAUGAGUAGGGCGGGACACGUGGUAUCCUGUCUGAAUAUGGGGGGACCAUCCUCCAAGGCUAAAUACUCCUGACUGACCGAUAGUGAACCAGUACCGUGAGGGAAAGGCGAAAAGAACCCCGGCGAGGGGAGUGAAAAAGAACCUGAAACCGUGUACGUACAAGCAGUGGGAGCCUCUUUAUGGGGUGACUGCGUACCUUUUGUAUAAUGGGUCAGCGACUUAUAUUCUGUAGCAAGGUUAACCGAAUAGGGGAGCCGAAGGGAAACCGAGUCUUAACUGGGCGUUAAGUUGCAGGGUAUAGACCCGAAACCCGGUGAUCUAGCCAUGGGCAGGUUGAAGGUUGGGUAACACUAACUGGAGGACCGAACCGACUAAUGUUGAAAAAUUAGCGGAUGACUUGUGGCUGGGGGUGAAAGGCCAAUCAAACCGGGAGAUAGCUGGUUCUCCCCGAAAGCUAUUUAGGUAGCGCCUCGUGAAUUCAUCUCCGGGGGUAGAGCACUGUUUCGGCAAGGGGGUCAUCCCGACUUACCAACCCGAUGCAAACUGCGAAUACCGGAGAAUGUUAUCACGGGAGACACACGGCGGGUGCUAACGUCCGUCGUGAAGAGGGAAACAACCCAGACCGCCAGCUAAGGUCCCAAAGUCAUGGUUAAGUGGGAAACGAUGUGGGAAGGCCCAGACAGCCAGGAUGUUGGCUUAGAAGCAGCCAUCAUUUAAAGAAAGCGUAAUAGCUCACUGGUCGAGUCGGCCUGCGCGGAAGAUGUAACGGGGCUAAACCAUG